GCUACCUAUCUCGGUAAGGGGAAGCGCCUAAGCUGGCACGGGUAAUUGAGUAGCUGUGAUAAGCUAUUGGCAGCCAGUUGAAAUCGUCCGGCUCGGGCCCGUU
rnacentral:sRNA from 1 species